AUACGUAGGUGACAAGCGUUAUCCGGAUUUACUGGGUGUAAAGGGCGUGUAGGCGGUUUAGCAAGUCAGAAGUGAAAUUCCCGGGCUUAACUUAGGCGCUGCUUCUGAAACUGCUUUACUUGAGUGCUGGAGAGGAUAGUGGAAUUCCUAGUGUAUCGGUAAAAUGCGCAGAUAUUAGGAGGAACACCGGUGGCGAAGGCGGCUAUCUGGACAGUAACUGACGCUGAGGCGCGAAAGCACGGGGAGCAAACAGGAUUAGAUACCCUGGUAGUCCGUGCCGUAAACGAUGAAUACUAGGUGUAGGGGGUAUCGACUCCCUCUGUGCCGCAGUUAACACAUUAAGUAUUCCACCUGGGGAGUACGGCCGCAAGGUUGAAACUCAAAUGAAUUGACGGGG
rnacentral:rRNA from 1 species